AUUGAACGCUGGCGGCAGGCCUAACACAUGCAAGUCGAACGAGUGGCGGACGGGUGAGUAAUGUCUGGGAAACUGCCUGAUGGAGGGGGAUAAAUACUGGAAACGGUAGCUAAUACCGCAUACCAUCAGAUGUGCCCAGAUGGGAAUAGCUAGUAGGCGGGGUAACGGCUCACCUAGGCGACGAUCCCUAGCUGGUCUGAGAGGAUGACCAGCCACACUGGAACUGUGACACGGUCCAGACUCCUACGGGAGGCAGCGUGGGGGAAUAUUGCACAAUGGUCGAAAGCCUGAUGCAGCCAUGCCGCGUGUAUGAAGAAGGCCUUCGGGUUGUAAAGGACUUUCAGCGGGGAGGCGUUACCCGCAGAAGAAGCACCGGCUAACUCCGUGCCAGCAGCCGCGGUAAUUC
rnacentral:rRNA from 1 species